rnacentral:lncRNA from 1 species
CACUGUGGAAGCUUUGUUCUUUCGCUCUUUGUAAUGAAUCUUGCUACUGCUUACUUUUUGGGUCCACACUGCUUUUAUGAGCUGUAUCACUCACCGCGAAGGUCUGCAGCUUCACUCCUGAGCCAGCGAGCCCACGAGCCCACCGGGAGGAACAAACAACUCCAGACGUGCUGCCUUAAGAGCUGUGACACUCACCGCAAAGGUGUGCAGCUUCACUCCUGAACCAGGGAGACCACGAACCCACCAGAAGGAAGAAACUCCGAACACAUCCGAACAUCAGAAGGAAAAAACUCCAGACGCGCCACCUUAAGAGCUGUAACACUCACCGCGAGGGUCCGCGGCUUCAUUCUUGAAGUCAGUGAGACCAAGAACCCACCAAUUCCGGAAACAGUUGUUGUCACAGCCCGGCCUGCCCCAACCUGCCUCAUAGGAAGCAUCGGAGACACUCCACCAGCUUCCCCCAUGGCUUCCUAUUCCUGGGGCCAAGGCAACGUCUGGUACAGAGCUGAGGCAGGGAAGAGAUAUCCUUGGAGCCAACAUACAUGUGUUUAGCCUGGAUCCUCUGUGCCUGAGCAACUCAGGCUUCUUCCACGUGGCAGGGGCAGGGUGAGGCCACAGACAGCUCCAGCUCACAUCAACCCAGCUAAUGGCUUCACAGGAAAGAGGGAAGCAAAAUCCCAGAGAAGUCUGAUUGGCCCGGCCUGGAUCUCAUGGCUGUGGGCAGUGGAAAAGCUGAGGGAACUGGAGAACAGCUGUUGUCCUCUCCCUGCGCACAUCUGUUCUGCCUCAUGCCAAAGGGAGACAAUGGCUAAAGGGGGCCCGUAUUGGUCACGCCCUGCAGAGAAACAGAACACACAGGUUGUGUAUGCAUGUAUAGCUAGGUAGGGAGACAGAGAGUGGGGAGAGAGAGAGGUUCGAGAAAUUGGCUCAUGUGAUUACAGAGGCUGGCAAGUCCAAAAUUUGCAGGGUGGGUGAUACGGUUUGGCUGUGUCCCCCCCCACCCAAAUCUCAUCUUGAAUUGUAGCUCCUAUAAUUCCCACGUGUCAUGGGAGGGACCCCAUGGGAGGUAAUUGACUCAUGGGGCUAAGUCUUUCCCAUGCUGUUCUCAUGAUAGUGAAUAAGUCUCAGGAGAUCUGAUGGUUUUAUAAAAGGGAGUUCCCUGCCCAAGCUCCCUCUUGCCUGCUGCCAUGGAAGACGCGCCUUUUCUCCUUUGCCUUCCACCGUGAUUGUGAGGCCUCCCCAGCCUCGUGGAACUGUCAGUCCAUUAAACCUCUUUUUCUUUAUAAA